ensembl:lncRNA
AUGUGCAACUUGCACGCACUGGCUGAGCGCCGCGCAGCGAGGGGGCACAAAAGUUUGCAGACUGUGGCACUGCAGCCAGCGGCACGCGAGCAAAGAGGGUCGACAGCCCCCGCCCCCACCUCUCCCGCCACUCGCCAGGAAGGGGGUCUCUCCAAGGAUCUGCGCCAGGGAGCCUGGGGGUUGGACACGGCUCAGAAAUGGGGUGAUGAUGGUUCUUCUCUACGGGUUCCGGGGAGGGACGGCCUAGGUACCCGGGCAGAGGGGCCAACGCGGCGCUGGGCGAAAAGCAACAGGCGGCUGCACCUUACCUUGCGCCAGUCCGCGGCCGGGGCGGCUGCUCCAUCCUCUCAGCGCACGGAGGCGUUGGGUGCGUCUGCGGGGCGGCGUGCGCGCUGCCAGACCCGCAGCAGCCGCCGUCCCCGCCCGACUGCCCGCCGGGCUGCCUGCCUCGAACCUGGCCGGCCGGCUGGGCCGGUUCUCCCGCGGCGGCGGCGGCGGCGGCGGCGUUGGUGCGCGGGACGCGGGCGAAUUUCCAAAGGCAAAGAAAACCAAGCUGUUGCACAGCUGCAUAGGGUGAGAGGUACAUUCCCAGCGCUAACACCUAGAGCAAACCCAUUCCAGCGUGUUGUUGGCAAUGCUGCAUGGUCUACUGACAGUUGUUCAAUAAAAAUAGAGAUCGUACCCAGGAGGAAGAGUGCAAUAUUCACACGUGGCCAGUGUUCUGCUUCUGUGAGCGAUGGUAUUCAAUUCCUUCAGAGUCAAACGUGGAGAAGCAUUUGCUAG